GAUGAACGCUGGCGGCGUGCCUAACACAUGCAAGUCGAGCGAUUUACUUCGGUAAAGAGCGGCGGACGGGUGAGUAACGCGUGGGUAACCUGCCCUGUACACACGGAUAACAUACCGAAAGGUAUGCUAAUACGAGAUGAUAUGCUUUUAUCGCAUGGUAGAAGUAUCAAAGCUUUUGCGGUACAGGAUGGACCCGCGUCUGAUUAGCUAGUUGGUAAGGUAACGGCUUACCAAGGCGACGAUCAGUAGCCGACCUGAGAGGGUGAUCGGCCACAUUGGAACUGAGACACGGUACAAACUCCUACGGGAGGCAGCAGUGGGGAAUAUUGCACAAUGGGCGAAAGCCUGAUGCAGCAACGCCGCGUGAGCGAUGAAGGCCUUCGGGUCGUAAAGCUCUGUCCUCAAGGAAGAUAAUGACGGUACUUGAGGAGGAAGCCCCGGCUAACUACGUGCCAGCAGCCGCCGUAAGAC
rnacentral:rRNA from 1 species